rfam:Schistosoma mansoni, Puerto Rico, WGS project CABG01000000 data, contig: 0160
AUCCAGCUGACGAGUCCCAAAUAGGACGAAACGCGUGUCCUGGAU